GUCUCUUAAGUCUAGCUCACACAUUUGUACAUUUAUGGUAAAAAUAUCACUGCUGAGGAACAUUUAUGGUAAAAAUAUCACUGCUGAGGUAAAUUUAUGGUAAAAAUAUCACUGCUGAGGCAAAUUCAUGGUUGGUUUGAAUUUGUGAAUUUCUUAUAUCAGGUCAAAAACUAUAAACAGAAUAAAAGCAAUAAUAACUUACAGUGGACGUUCAGCUUGAGCUGCUCUGAUUGACCCCGUCCAACAGAGUUAAACACAGUGCAGGAAACGGAGGUCUCCCGCAGGAUAUUUUUAAGGGUGUAGCGAUGUUCUGCUCCACUCUUCUUCACAGUGGUGUUCAUCUGAGAAACAGACCACUCGUAGCGAGAAGGUGGAGGUCUACUGGUAGCAGAACAUGUGAGUGAGAGAGAACCACCCUCAACCACACU